CGCAUGAUUAGGUAACUAGGCAUGUGAUUAAACAGAAGUCAGCAGACGGUAUAGUAGCCAAAUGCCCAUCGUAAUGGUUGGGACAAGGUGAAGGCC
rfam:Colwellia sp. MT41, complete genome.